UACGUAGGGUGCGAGCGUUGUCCGGAAUUAUUGGGCGUAAAGAGCUUGUAGGCGGUUUGUCGCGUCUGCUGUGAAAAUCCGGGGCUCAACCCCGGACUUGCAGUGGGUACGGGCAGACUAGAGUGUGGUAGGGGAGACUGGAAUUCCUGGUGUAGCGGUGAAAUGCGCAGAUAUCAGGAGGAACACCGAUGGCGAAGGCAGCUCGCUGGGACGUUACUGACACUGAGGCGCGAAAGCGUGGGGGAGCAAACAGG
rnacentral:rRNA from 1 species